GUGCUUACUUUGGCAGCACAUACACUAAAAUUGGAACAAUACAGAGAAGAUCAGCAAGGGUCCCUGUGUAAGGAUGACAUGCAAAUUUGUGAAGUGUUCCACAUUUUU
rnacentral:snRNA from 1 species